CAUAAAUUGAUUGUUGAUUAAAAUACCAAAUUAUCUCAACUUUUAGUAGCAAUUAAUAGUAUUGUCACCAAUAGGGUAAUAACCAUUUAACACUAUUAAGAGUCUUGAGAAGUGGCCAAUUAGUUGAACAGCAAUUUGAUUGGAAAUCAUCAAGUGACAAUUCCCAAAGCAUCACACCUCCGAGAUUUAAUUGUUUGAUAUAAUUUGAUUUUCUCCUUAAACUAAUCAGAUCAUCAAAACCAACCCAUUGAUUAUUUUUAUAAGCAAUCGGAGCUUCAGAACCAGGAAAUCGUUUAACUGACCAGUCCGAGUUUCGGAUAUUCAAACAAAUCUCAGUGAAAGACAAAUAACCGGACUCUCUAGUAACUGGACCUUGUCCACCAGGACCAAUUGAUUGUUCACCUAAACCAUAAUUAGUUGAAUUGUCGGACACAUUACUGGCCAAAGUAAAGGCUCGACCAUAAAAUGGUACACCGAUGAUUAAUUUACUCGCAGGGAAACCUUCAUUGAUCCAUUUGUUAACAAUUGAAUUACAAUUACGAUCAAUUUCAUCAUCAUCAUCACCAUAAUUAGCGCUCGGUGUUAUUUGAAACAAUUGUGAAUGAUGAACGGCAACAUUAUGAUAACCUUUAUAAAGAUCGUAGGUCAUUAUGUUAACAAAGUCCAACGAUUGAGCUAAACUUUGUAUAUCAUAUGAAGUAUUGACCAGUCGCACCCAACCACCAACAGCGGCGGUGAUUAAAAAGUCUGACCCAUUGGUAGCUGACCUCAACUCACUGACCAGUGAAGCGAAACCUUGUUUAUCAUUGGCUCCCAUUGAAGCGGUACAAUUGUCCUGCCAACAUGAAGGAUAUUCCCAGUCAAGGUCAAGCCCAUCGAACCCAUGGAAUCGUAAAAACGGAAUCACCGAUUUGAUGAAAUUUUCCCGUUUCGUUGAAUUAUUGACCAUCAGUGAGUAUUUCAAUCCAUCGCCCGAAUCGCCCCAACCUCCCAAAGACAAAAGCACCUUCAACGAAGGGUUAAUUUGCUUUAAAUCGGUCACCCGUCGGUAAAAGUUCAUAUUAAAGUCAAUUGUACCAUUCGAGGUUAUCAAGGUGUGAGUCUGAUUGUCCAGUAUCGCAAAAGCAUAAUUAAUAUGAGUGCAAAGGUGAGCCGGAAUAUCUUCCGGAUAAAGUGACCCAUCCCUAGAAGAUGACCAAGCCCAAUUGGUAAAGUAACAAACGACCUUGUAAUUGUUUGGGGUUAAAGGUGAAGAUGAAUUAACAGUUGAUUGGGUUAAUAUAUUUUUCAGAAUAAUUUGAUCAUCAUCUAGUUGAUCAAUUGAACAAUUAGGGGGAAAAUCAACUGUACACAAUUGUCGCUUCGAGUCAAAGUAAAGGCCAACUGGACAUCGUAACAAUCGGACAAUUGUCCCAUUCAUACAUUCACCAUAAAGUUGACAAUUAACUGAUUCACCAAUGUAAUAAGUAUCAUUUGAAUUACAUGGUUGAUCAACUGUUAAUGUUGAUGAGACAAUUGGAAACAAUUGGAUACAUGAAACAAUUAAAACUAAUUCACUUAUGAAUAUAAACAUUUUCACCUUUCAUUUG
rnacentral:misc_RNA from 1 species